GACGAACGCUGGCGGCGUGCUUAACACAUGCCAGUCGAACGGAAACGCCCUGCUGUUGUCGGGUGCUCUAGUGGCGAACGGAUGGGUAACAAGUGACUAACCUGCCCUUGACUUUGGGAUAACUUCAGGUAACAGGGGCUAAUACCAGAUAGGAGCUCCGGCUGCAUGGUGGGGGUUGGAAUGUUUCGUCGGUUGGGGAUGGACUCGCGGCUGAUCAGCUUGUUGGUGGGGUAGUGGCUUACAAAGGCUUUGACGGGUAGCCGGCCUGUGAGGGUGACCGGCGACAUGGGGACUGAGAUACGGCCCAGACUCGUAUGGGAGGCAGCGGUGGGGAAUAUGGCACAAUGGGCGGGAGCGUGAUGCGGCAACGCCGCGUGCGGGAAGACGGCCUUCGGGUUGUAAACCGAUUUCGCCUGUGACGAAGCGUGAGUGACGUUACCGGGUAAAGAAGCACCGGCUAACUACGUG
rnacentral:rRNA from 1 species